AAUUAUAAUUGGCAAACUUGUCGAAAGAUAAGGACGCAAAGCCGUGGGUCUAAAGAGCUAUUCUAUGACUGCCUGGUUGCAUAA
rnacentral:ncRNA from 1 species